GCAAGCAAGCUCUUCAGGUUGUUUGAAGUUAACUUUGAAGUUUUAAACAUUUUCUUUAAUUGUAAUGGACUUUCAUAUUUAUUAGUUGAAUAUUGAGUUAAGCUUUGUUUCAGAGUUCAUACCUUUCCAUAUUUUAUUUUUUCUCCUUAAAAAUAUUACAGACCCUUUUUGCAUCAGUUUUUAUUUAUUUAUUAUCAUAUUUUUAUCAAAUUCAAUAUCCUGAGGGAUGUUUUGGCUUUUACCUGGCUGGAAUGAAUGGUGAUGUGCUUCUUUAUG
rnacentral:misc_RNA from 1 species